GUCAUCUUCUCCAUUUUUGUAUAUCGUGCACGACUUUUACACUCCUAUUUACGACUUAUUUCCUCCCUCCUCCUUUAAUUAAUCAUCUGUCUCUGUGAUCACUCACGCUUCAGCUUCUCCUCUAUUCUAUAUACAAGCUGUAUUUUUUCUUUUUGGUUCUGCGACACUGGUCCGUGGUCUCAACUUCACCCGCCUUCGUCUCCAUGGAUGGAUCGAAGGAAACAUCAACAAGCUAUGUGAUCAACUCAAGAAAUCUUCUCCGAUAAAAGUUGAAUCUGGAAAUUCCAACACGAAGAAGAGAAGAUCUGAUUACGAUUCCCCCAUGCGGCUCCUGUUGCCGUCAAAAGGUACACGAUCUGAACGAUGAUAUUGACGGAGGAAGACCUGAUCGGGGGUGUUCAGGUAUAAAGGAUCUAAAUUUCUGAUUGAAAAUGCUAUAAAAAGGCUAGCUUUCUUCCUUUGAACAUCAUCUUCUCAACUGUGAAAACACCAAAGUUAAUUCAUUUUCUGUGAGAUGUCAAAAAAAAAAAAAUUUCAUUUUCUGUGAUUUGAAGGCUUGGUUAUAUAUGUCUGUAUCAAGACUCGGUUGAUAAAACCAGGACCUUUGGAGAAGCGAAUUCGAGGUUUAGAUUUAUGAGAGUGGCUUGGGAUGUGACCAAGCGUCAGUAACAGAUUCAGUUGCAUUAAGACUAACAAGAAAGUGAAAAGCUAAUGGCUUGGUCUCAACGAGUUUUCAGAUUUGAGCCACGAAGGAGAGGUUACGGAGUGUUCCGAUCAUCAUUAAGAAGAGAUUAUUGAGUUUGGGGCUCAAGACUGAUGUAGAAAGAGCAAGAGUUCGCUUAUAAGGACUUUGAUGUGAGGCUUUGCCUAAAUCUGUUGAGUGGAGAACGAAAGGAGCCGUGCACUAUGUCAUGAACCAAGGCUCUUGCGGAAGUUAUUGGGCGUUUUUGGACAGUUGCUGCAGUGGAAGGUGUAAACAAGAUUGUGACCGCAAACUUGACAGCAUUGUCUGAACCAUAACUCAUAGAUUGUAGUCUGUGACACAACUUACAACAAUGGCUGCAACAGUGGUUUCAUGGAUUAUGCUUUUGAGUACGUGGUGAAUAACGUAUUCGCAAGGAAGAGGAUUAUCCUUACUCUAUGGAAGAAGGAACUUUCUAAAUGCAAAAGGUUUUUGUGUAACUGCAAAAAAGGAAUAAAUUGGUCGUACUAAUUCUCUUUGUUUUUAAACCAGAUGAAUCUGAAAUGGUAACUAUCAGCGGGCACCAAGAUGCACGUAGAAAUGAUGAGAAAAAUCUCUUGAAGGCAUUGGCUCAUCAAUCUCUCAGUGUCGCUAUUGAUGCUUCUGCUAGAGACUUCCAGCGGUUGUGGGGUCGAUUUGGACCAUGGUGUUACUGCAGUUGGGUAUGGAUCAAGCAAGGGUUCAGAUUAUAUCAUUGUGAAAAAUUCUUGGGGACCAACAUGGAGGGUGGGGAGAAAGGUUACAUCAGGAUGAACACUGGGAAACCAGGGGUGUCUGUGGAAUCAAUAAGAUGCUUCCUUCCCCACCAAACCGAAGUGGUGAUAUCAUUUUAUCCUAUAUGCAUUUGAUCAUUAUCUUAAUAUCUUCAUAACAACAUGAAUUUUGUCAUGAAAUUGUUAUGUUAAUGAAUAGAAAUGUUGUAAGUA